UACAGAGGUCCCAAGCGUUGUUCGGAUUCAUUGGGCGUAAAGGGUGCGUAGGCGGCGCGGUAAGUCGGGUGUGAAAUCUCGGAGCUUAACUCCGAAACUGCAUUCGAUACUGCCGUGCUUGAGGACUGGAGAGGAGACUGGAAUUUACGGUGUAGCGGUGAAAUGCGUAGAUAAUCGUCGAAGGAAGACCAGUGGCGAAGGCGGGUCUCUGGACAGUUCCUGACGCUGAGGCACGAAGGCCAGGGGAGCAAACGGG
rnacentral:rRNA from 1 species